UCCCGCUUACACGGGCAGUAUCCUAUGAGUUCCCGACUUUCUCGCUGGCAACAUAGAACGAGGGUUGCGCUCGUUGGCGGACUUAACCGUACACCUCACGGCACGAGCUGACGACAGCCAUGCAACAUCUGUCUUCUGGUCUCCUUGUGAGAGAGGGACCAAUCUCUUGGCCUUUCCAUUGAUGUCAAACCUGGGUAAGGUUCUUCGGUUAGUAUCGAAUUAAUCCACAUGCUCCACCGCUUGUGCGGGGUCCCGUCAAUUCAUUUGAGUUUCAACCUUGCGGCCGUACUCCCCAGGCGGGAUACUUAGUGCGUUAGCUGCGGCACAAGAGGGAUCGAUACCUCUUACGCCUAGUAUCCAUCGUUUAGGGCGUGGACUAC
rnacentral:misc_RNA from 1 species